GUUGUUCUCUGGCAGGGGAGAUACCAUGAUCAUGCAGGUGGUUUCCCCAAGGCAAGUCUCAUCCAUUGCACUUGGGAUGUGCAGACCCCUACAUUUUCCCCAAAUGUGAGAAACUCGAUUGCAUAAUUUGUGAUAGUAGUGGACUAUGUUUGCUGUCUCCCCUG